rnacentral:lncRNA from 1 species
GCCUGAUCCUGGGACAUGCUGCCCAGAGCUCCGCUUCUGGGGCAUGUUUCUAUGACCUUGACCUGCCUUGUUUGUAGAUGCACAGGUGGGGAAACACACAUUUGAAGGGAGGCUGAGGAGGUAAGCUAAACAAGCUCUGGCCUCAAGAUAAGCAAUAGCAAAACAGUUGUAGCUCCUCCACCACCAGACACUUACUGGCUGACUCCCCUGUUCCACAAGCCAUAACUACAGCUUUGAUUGGCCAAAUGAUUGAUUUCAGUAACUUUCUCCUGAUAAGAAGACCACUGCCCAGGGACUGCUUCUGGCCAGUUUACAGAGGCUGCACACUUGAGUGCCUUUGUGUCUCUGCGUCACCUUUUGAGGAAUGAGAUCAACUUCAUGAGACUUAUUUUGACUGGAUCAUCUGAGGUCAGGAGUUCGAGACCAGCCUGGCCAACAUAGUGAAACCCCGUCUCUACUGAAAAUACAGAAUUAGCCGGGCGUGCCUGUAAUCUCAGCUACUUGGGAAGCUGAGGCAGGAGAAUUGCUUGAACCUGGGAGGUGGUGGAGGUUGCAGUGAGCCGAGACUGCGUCUUUGCACUGCAGCCUGGGCGACAAGAGCAAAACUUCAUCAAAAAAAAAGAAAAAAAAGAAAAAAGAAAAGAAAGAAGUGGGUGCAGAGGCUGGGCUACAGAAGAACACACCAAUUCCCAUGGUUGAAUACUCCUUCGCACAAAAGCAGAGUCUCUGUGAGGGAUAAGGACUCCUUGAAGAUCACAGGGGUGGUAAGAGGGAAGACUGGGUUCCCAUCAUUUCCUGAACAGCUCAUGUUAUUGAUGAAAUGUUGAGGUCUCUCCUUACUGAAAGCCAGAGUUUCUGGCAUUUCUUG